AGACUCGCAUCCUACAUGUGGUACUUAUUCAGUUUGGCCUAUCUUAUUCUUCAAAGUGAAUUUCUUGUUUAAACAUGCCCUUGGUUGUUUCUUGAUAUUUCCGUGCCUCUGUGAUUUUAGAUACUCCCUCCAAUCCCUGUGCAGCUGCCAGAAAACAUAUCUUGUUGCCGAUGCCCAACAAGGUAUCUUCCAAAAUCUCAAUCUGUGUGUGCUUGCUUGCUGUUGCGCCUGCUUCCUUUGCAGCGAGGCUUUUUGCUUGAUGGUGUGCUCUGAUGGUGUUGAUUUUGUCCUGCUGGGUUGAUGUUUGAUGGCGCGGGAGCAGGAGAAGAUGAUGAGGGCGAUGCGCCGCCCUCAUGUCGAUGGUCAGCCAUACGAUUGAUCCUAGGUUUUUAUCUCUCGGUUAACUUUCAAGGCCCUUACUUCAUGCACGGUCACAAUAGGAAAUCAGAGUUAUCAUUGGUGCAGCUUGUGAUGGACCGGCUUUGAGGAAUUGAUAGAUGAAGAUAAAUUUCUACUUUCUGUUUAAAGAUUCAAACAUGGGGAACACAGUUAAUAUCUCAUGCAUUAUGCCUAAUCAUAUGUAGGCCAAGAUAUAGCAGAGGUGUCGGAAAGUUCAGGUGAGAUCCAAAUACUCCAUAACCUCUUAUUUCCUAGCUAUUGGUGCAUUAUUCAUGAUUAUUGAAUUAACAAAGCACACUUUUCUUAAUUAAAUGGUAAGGAAAGUUACAGGACUACGAUGUAAUUAGGCAGCAAAACUGAAAUCUGCUACGUGAUGCUCUGCUUGGGUAUAGGAUUCAGUUUUUAAUUGCGGAAAUCUUCCAAGUUGACAUUUAUGAGUUGUGGUCUGCAGACUUUCUACUUAAUGUAUCUUCACCAUAAUAUCUGUACAAUAAUCAUGCUACAUUUUAUAUUAACUUUGUGACCAAUGCUACCAAUCUUAGCCGGCCAUUCUUAUACUUGGUGAUGUGCUUAGUUUAGCUAAUUAGAUAAUUAUCAGAUAUUAUUUCAAGAAUGACUAUGAAACUUUUAGCAGAUACUUCUAUUUUUUUGUUACAGGUAUAAUUUAUGUCCAAGAGAUAAGUUGGCGCGGGAGUCACUGUUGCAGUAUAUGGAAAAAAAUGAUCUUACUUUACUUCAUGAUCAGGUGUUUAGAGUAUUCAUGGUCACCAGGGAGCACAAGGAGUUGGGGAGGAAGGAGGAGCCCACGGCCAUCCAUCAGCGGUGGCAGGCAGCGCAGGGUUGAGUUGGAGGCAAACACAUCAAGAAGCAUGUAAUAAGGUGACAGUCGCUGGCCAUUACCACAAUAACUUGAGUUUGAGACUCUAAAGCAAACUAGGUUUAAGCCAUGGCAUUCUCUCCGUCAUAUACAUCAUUCUAUUGGAGAAGUCCCGGUCUACUUCCUUCGAGCAAGCAGUGUAUAUGUUGUUGACUUUAGUUCAUAGUAGGACAUGUUGUAUUAAUGAAGAUUUACAUAUUGUUUCACUGACAUGUAUUAAUGAAGAUUUACAUUUUGUUUUGCCCAUGGGAUAGUCUUUCAUUUGAUUUCUAUGCUUAAUAUAAUAUUUUACAAACUGUUUAUUGGGGCCGUGAGCCAAGGCGAGCCCCAAAAUAUUUCUCUA